UGCGUAAUAGCUCACUGGUCGAGAGGUCCUGCGCCGAAAAUGUCCGGGGCUAAAACUUACCACCGAAGCUACGGGCUUGCGUAAGCAAGCGGUAGGGGAGCGUCGUAAUCGGGCUGAAGUCGUACCGUAAGGAGCGGUGGACUGAUUACGAGUGAGAAUGUUGGCAUUAGUAGCGAGAUGUAGGUGAGAAUCCUACAGGCCGAAUAUCUAAGGUUUCCUCAGGAAGGCUCGUCCGCUGAGGGUUAGUCGGGACCUAAGCCGAGGCCGAAAGGCGUAGGCGAUGGACAACAGGUUGAUAUUCCUGUACCACUACCAUCGUUAUUAUCGAGGGUGUGACGGAGAAGGAUAGUGUGUGCUAGCGAUUGGAAAUGCUAGUCUAAGCGUUUAGGCAGUUACGGUAGGCAAAUCCGCUGUAAUGUUAAUGCUGAGGCGUGAUGGGGAAAGCCAUUUAGGCUGAAGUACAUGAUUCCAUGCUUCCAAGAAAAGCAUCUAGAGAGAGAAGUAGUGCCCGUACCGCAAACCGACACA
rnacentral:rRNA from 1 species